rnacentral:rRNA from 1 species
GAUGAACGCUGGCGGCGUGCCUAAUACAUGCAAGUCGAGCGAACGGACGAGAAGCUUGCUUCUCUGAUGUUAGCGGCGGACGGGUGCGUAACACGUGGAUAACCUACCUAUAAGACUGGGAUAACUUCGGGAAACCGGAGCUAAUACCGGAUGAUAUUUUGAACCGCAUGGUUCAAAAGUGGAAGACGGUCUUGCUGUCACUUAUAGAUGGAUCCGCGCUGCAUUAGCUAGUUGGUAAGGUAACGGCUUACCAAGGCAACGAUGCAUAGCCGACCUGAGAGGGUGAUCGGCCACACUGGAACUGAGACACGGUCCAGACUCCUACGGGAGGCAGCAGUAGGGAAUCUUCCGCAAUGGGCGAAAGCCUGACGGAGCAACGCCGCGUGAGUGAUGAAGGUCUUCGGAUCGUAAAACUCUGUUAUUAGGGAAGAACAUAUGUGUAAGUAACUGUGCACAUCUUGACGGUACCUAAUCAGAAAGCCACGGCUAACUACGUG